UGGGGAAUCUUGCACAAUGGGGGCAACCCUGAUGCAGCGACGCCGCGUGAGCGAUGAAGCCCUUCGGGGCGUAAAGCUCUUUCGACCGGAACGAUAAUGACGGUACCGGGAGAAGAAGCUGCGGCUAACUACGUGCCAGCAGCCGCGGUAAUACGUAGGCAGCAAGCGUUGUUCGGAGUUACUGGGCGUAAAGAGUGCGUAGGCGGUUUUCUAAGUUCGGUGUGAAAUCUCCCGGCUUAACUGGGAGGGUGCGCCGAAGACUGGGAAGCUGGAGUGUGGGAAAGGCAGGCGGAAUUCCUGGUGUAGCGGUGAAAUGCGUAGAUAUCAGGGGGAACACCGGCGGUGUAGACGGCUUGCUAGACCAUAACUGACGCUGAGGCACGAAAGCGUGGGUAGCAAACA
rnacentral:rRNA from 1 species